CCUACGGGGUCGCUGCAGUGGGGAAUAUUGGACAAUGGGCGAAAGCCUGAUCCAGCCAUGCCGCGUGUGUGAAGAAGGCCUUCGGGUUGUAAAGCACUUUCAGUGGGGAAGAAAGCCUUGGGGCUAAUACCUCGAGGAAGGACAUCACCCACAGAAGAAGCACCGGCUAACUCUGUGCCAGCAGCCGCGGUAAUACGGAGGGUGCGAGCGUUAAUCGGAAUUACUGGGCGUAAAGCGCGCGUAGGCGGUCUGAUAAGCCGGUUGUGAAAGCCCCGGGCUCAACCUGGGAACGGCAUCCGGAACUGUCAGGCUAGAGUGCAGGAGAGGAAGGUAGAAUUCCCGGUGUAGCGGUGAAAUGCGUAGAGAUCGGGAGGAAUACCAGUGGCGAAGGCGGCCUUCUGGACUGACACUGACGCUGAGGUGCGAAAGCGUGGGUAGCAAACAGGAUUAGAUACCCCAGUAGUC
rnacentral:rRNA from 1 species